CUCUUUUCUAUCAUGAAGUCCUUUGAAUUUAUUUUUGCAAGGUUUCGAAAUUGGAUCUGAGAAGCACACAACAAAUGCAGUAAUAGACAAGUCCGGUGCACUGCAAUUGACUUUUGGUAAUGAAGGAUUAUCAGUUUUGAAUCGGUCGGUAAGUUUUAGGAUGUAGAGUUUAUAUGUUAAUACAAGUUAUAGUGGGAUGUUUUCUGAUGUUUUUACGGUAAUUUCAAGGUAAAAAUUAUCAAACUGAGUUGUGAAUAUUAUGUUUGAGGUAUGGUCGAAUUUUUUUUUAUCAAUUAUGAGUAUUUUCUAAACAAAUUGAAGUUUCAUUUAAAUUAACAAUUGGCUCUGAAUUGAAAUAUUUCCUUAUUUGUAAAUAAUCCUGUCUUGAGACUUCUAACACUUGCUUUGAGGAAUACUGGAAUGGAGGAUUGGAGAAAUUUUUACUGUUGUUUGUGGCUUCUGCAUAGUUUUUUCUUUAUAUUUCUUUCUUCAUUUUCCCCAUUUCACAGGAAUGCAGCUAUUGUGAUGCUUUCAGGUCAAGUGGCGGAUGCAUUUGCCAUUGUAUUUGUUGGUGAACUAGUAUUUAAACUUUUUUCGCUUCACACCUGGGAAAUGUAUGCUUCCGUCACUAAGAAUAUUUGUGUGUUCCUAACAUAAUAAUCUUUUAUAGCGUAGGUAACAAAUAUUUGUUGUGAGUUUCAACAUUUAGUUUGGGUGUUACACGAAAUGAACAUCAUUUGAUUGAACUAAUACUAAUCUAGCUUUUAAUUUCAUCUGAUUUUAAGAAACUUUAAUAGUUUGUCACUCACCUUUCAAAUCUUAUUUUGAUAGAAAUGCUUACUUCAGUUAUCUUGCUUUAUAGAUAGACCUAUUUGGAUGUUUCAAGAUAUGGCAUGGUGCAUGAUCUUUAUUGGUGGCUAUUUCAUUAUCUUCUGUUUUUUGGUUGUUGUCUACCAUGUGCAAUUUUUAGUUCUAAUUCAACUACUUUUAAAACUGUGAGUUACAUCAUGUUUGCAGCGAUUUUCAACUUGGGGUGGGCUGCUGCUCAGGUCUCACACAUGUAAUAAAUUUUGUCAAAUUUAUCUUUUUCUUUUGUAAAUGUUAGGAAUUUCUGAUUUGAAAAUGUUUUUUUUUUUCAUUUUUAAUUUCAAAAUUGAUCGCUAAGUGUUAUUUUAUGAAAAGCAUAGUUUCCCAGCCCUUCAAUUUAAAGUCAUGUUCAUUAGUGUCUUCGUUGAAUUGUUUCAUGAAGGUCUAUGGUGAGUUGCAUCACGCUGAACUCAACAAGCAGAGUUUCAUUGGCUAGCUGUCGCAAUGCUUUUACCAAAGUAAGCUUCUAGAUAAAAGAAAAAAGGUUGCAUGUUCGUAUUUCUUACUAAUGCAUAUACUUAUAGCUUUAUAGGUUGCCAACCUGAGUUUAUAUGCAGUUGCUUUGAUAGUAUUCACUGUCAUAAAUGGAAAAUUGUAUGCUAAUGUUGAGAAUCAAGUAUGUUUGCGAUGAAUAUUUUUUUGUAUUUUUGAAUGAUUGAAUGUUGUCGAGCACAUAUUUACUUUAUUCUUCUUUCAAAUGAGUAGUACCGUUAGAUUGCAUAUGUUUCGAUUUUUAUAGGAUGUUGCUUUGUGGGCAUAUUUCAUCUUGCGACAAAAGAGCCGAAAUGUGUUUCGAGGUCCAUUAUAUCCCUAUAAAAAUUGUUAUAUAUAAUAGGUUGCUUCAGGUGUGGGCUUAAUAUGUUUCACAAAUUGAAUUGAAUUGUGUAUGAAGAUACCUUUAGGAACAAAAUAUAUUUAUUUUAUGUAAAUAAUGUUUAACUGAUACUAUAUAUCAUGCUCUAAAGACUUCUUGUGAAUUGGCUGAAAGAUUAUCUAUGACAAUGGUUCAGAACAAAAUCUCUCAGAAAUACCAGCUGAACUGAAAGGUUCUGAUUAAAGCUUCCAGUAUUUAUCAUAAAGAUACUGAAGUUCCACCGUGAGAAGCAUUUGAUUCAAGACUCAUAACUCAUGUUUUGUUUAGUUGGUAAAGUGAUGUGUUAAUAGCUUGAUGUUUGGAUACUCGAGGAUAGCUUGGAGAAUGAAGGAUGCAGGGCACGAUUCAGUUUGGACUAUGUGAGCUGAUUCUUUAUUAGAGCAGGUCUUGAAUGACAUACAUAUGGUGCGAUGACGGUCUUGAAUAGCAUUGAACUUGACGAAUACAAUAUUUUGAGAUGGUAAUAAAUAAUUGCUUGUGAUUGAAUUGCAUGCUUGAAAGAGAUUGUUAAGUAGAGAUAAGGUACUUGAUUGGAAGGUUUUUAUUAUUUAAUUAUAUGUGAAGUCCUUUGCUUACUUGGUAAAAGCGAUAAGUAUAUUCCUUUUAUCCAUGUGACUUAAAUUGGGAUUUUGUUUGUUUGUUUGUGAUACUUUGAUCUAAAGACCCAGUUUUCCUCUGAAAAGUAGGAGAAAAUCAUGUUCUUUCCUUGAUUUUUGAACUUGUAAAAAGUAUGGACAACCAGUUGUCAAAUAUCCGCAAUUGCGGUACUAUGGAGGAGUUUAUUGCUUUUGAUGGAUGAUUUUUCUGCUGAAUUUUUAAUAAUAAUUACCUCUUGAAAUUGCUUAUUGAUAAUUAUUUAUUGUGUAUUGGAAGGAGCUUAAUGUUCACGAAGCUUGCUCUUAUUUCAUUUAAUCAUUUUUCAAUUAUUGAGCUUAGCUAUGAAGCAUUAUGUUGUUAAUCCCACAUAACCCCUUGAAAUUCUAUAGUGGUAUAGCGUAACAAUGAUAUAGUUCAGCACAAUGUUUUUAAUUCUACCACCGCUACGUUAUUUCGCUAUAGCGCUCUAUUGACAACUUAAAGCACCACCAGAGACACACACACUUGACAUGGUGUUGUUACGUGAGAUGAGUGAUGGUUUUUGUACUGUCUGAUUGUGAUUUUGUUGAUAGAACUAUGUUUUGGCGGAUUAUUGAGCUUUUGUUUCACUCUAAUGUUUGUUGUUUUCAGCAUAGCGAAGAAGUUAGAGCCUAGGAAUAAUACACUGGCAUCAUCUGUUUGGUGGGGUUUAGGAUUUUAUUGAUGAAAAUUGACUUAAUAAAAUUCUGCUAUGGUUUGAUGUAUAACAUAUAUGUAUGUGAUUCAAUUUUGGUUUCGAAAGUUAAUUCUUUUGUAAUUUGGAUUUUACGUGGAUAAAAGGAAUAUACUUAUCGCUUUUGUAAUUUGCUUUUAUUGCUUUUCAUCAAAAUGACUAUAUAACUUUGUACCUACUGGAUCAUCUUCAUCUAAAAACUACCACUAUAUAACUCUUCAAAACUAGUUUUCAAUCAAGAAUAAUAACAUCACAAAUUAUAGGUUGUCUUUCAUCUUCAUGAAGUCCAAAAAAACUUCAAUUAAAUACAAAUUAUUGCUACUCUCAAUAUGAAUAUAAUGAUGUUGGUGCACAAGAAUGAAAGAUGAUAACAAAGAGAAUAAACAAAAGGAAUAACAGCGCAAAAGAAUGAGAGAAUAAUUGUUGUGUUCUAUUAGUGAUAGCUGCUACAAGACUAUUUAUGCAAAAGAAAAUUUGCCACAUAAGCCCUAAUAGAGUCAACUUAGUGAACAAGUCUAAGGUACAAACAGUACAAUACUAAGAAAUACUAAAGUACCCUUACUAACUAAAUAGCUAAGCUAACAGGACCCAGAAGGUAGAACUUCUGAUCAACACUAUCUUCUGAGUAACCAUCAGAAGAUCAGCCCACAUCAGAACUUUUGGUGCUCAUCUUCUGAAUAUGAAUUACUCUUCAAUACCAUCCCUUAAUUCAUAUUCUUCAAUCAAAGCUGACAAUGCCAAUUCCAUUCCUUAAGAACAGAAAUUGAUCCGUCUUGAUUGCCUUCGUCAGAACAUCUACCAUCUGCUUCUGGGUGCUACAAUGCACAACCUCUAAUGUUCCAUUAUGGACUUGGCUUCUCAAGAAAUGAUAUUUAGUCUCAAUAUGCUUCCUUCUUCUGUGUAACACAGGAUUCCUGGCAAGAUUGAUUGCAGGAAAUGAGAAAAGUUGGUGUUGCUUUACUAAAGGUGCCCUUUUAUAGGCAAUUUAUUCCAACAAUCACAUUCUAUCCCAAGAGUCAUGUCCCAAUAGUCAUGAAGAGAGAGAAGAG